rnacentral:rRNA from 1 species
UACAGAGGUCUCAAGCGUUGUUCGGAUUCAUUGGGCGUAAAGGGUGCGUAGGCGGCGGCGUAAGUCGGAUGUGAAAUCCCAGGGCUCAACCCUGGAACUGCAUUCGAUACUGCGUCGCUGGAGGACUGGAGAGGAGACUGGAAUUCACGGUGUAGCAGUGAAAUGCGUAGAGAUCAUGAGGAAGACCAGUGGCGAAGGCGGGUCUCUGGACAGUUCCUGACACUGAGACACGAAGGCCAGGGGAGCAAACGGG